rnacentral:tRNA from 1 species
GGGGCUGUAGCUCAGCUGGGAGAGCACCAGAUUUGCAUUCUGGGGGUCAGGGGUUCGAAUCCCCUCAGCUCCACAA